rnacentral:rRNA from 1 species
CAGUCGCCACGGUAAUACGGAGGGUGCAAGCGUUAAUCGGAAUUACUGGGCGUAAAGCGCACGCAGGCGGUCUGACAAGUCAGAUGUGAAAUCCCCGGGCUUAACCUGGGAACUGCAUUUGAAACUGUCAGGCUGGAGUCUUGUAGAGGGGGGUAGAAUUCCAGGUGUAGCGGUGAAAUGCGUAGAGAUCUGGAGGAAUACCGAUGGCGAAGGCAGCCAUCUGGCCUAAUACUGACGCUGAGGUACGAAAGCAUGGGGAGCAAACAGGAUUAGAUACCCCUGUAGUCCCUGUCUCUUAUAC